CAUAAGUCCUAGCAAAGAUGUAGGGAGAGAUUUUUGUACUAUGAUGAAACUUCAUUGAGAACAAGAGCUCCUGACAAGGUCAAAACUCCUGUCUAUUAUGCAAGCUCUUCAGCUUAGGCGAGUUGGGGCUCCUGACACUUCUAACUCAAAGCACUGCUCAUCUAUAAGUAAAAGAGAUCACAUAGAGGCAGCUGUGGAUGGGUAUGAGGCAGCCAAGGCAUGCAUAUCUGACUGACUGCCCAGACAUCUGGACAUUCACAUCCUUUGUCAGGUGAUAGUUGAGCUGCCUCCAGCUACCAGGCUAGAAAUGCCCUCAGGAGUUGAGGUUGUAUGGCCAUGUCAUCCUUGAAGACGCUACUGGUGGAAUUAAUCACUUCUCUAUAUACCAGAGCACUGACAUCCUGAGUUUGUUACAUCAAAGGGUAUUGACUGAGAAGGCAAAUAAUCAAAUGACCCGUAACGCAGGUUCUUCCCUUAUUGGUAUCAUUGGAUUGAAGGAAAUUAUUACAACAGUAGAUCUUUACAGUGUCACUUACCUAAUGUGUGAGUGUUUUAUUCAUUAUGUUAUGCAUUAUACAACUUCACGCGUACUUAAAAAUUAGUUCAGUGUUUAAACCAGGCAGAAGAUGUUUGCAGUAAACACUUGAUCUACUGAUAUUUUAAUUUUUUUCCAUUUUGUUUUAUUUCACCUGAUCAACCAUGUUUUCAAUAUCAGUAACAUUUAAUGAGCUCUUGGGAGGUUAAUAUAGUGAAGAAGAUAAAACUCUACUUUGCAAUAGUAUGUACGACAGAUGUGAUAGUUUACAGCUGCUUUUAUUACGGAGCCAUAGACUUCUUUUUUUUGCAUUGAAUAAACUU